rnacentral:tRNA from 1 species
UGCCCUUUAGUUUAAUGGCAGAACAGAGGUCUUUGACACCUAUAACGCAAGUUCGAUCCUUGCAGGGGCAGCCA